rnacentral:siRNA from 1 species
AGAGUGUAUUUGGAUGGUCUACA